UACGGAGGGUGCAAGCGUUAUCCGGAUUCACUGGGUUUAAAGGGUGCGUAGGCGGACAAGUAAGUCAGUGGUGAAAUCUCUGGGCUUAACUCAGAAACUGCCGUUGAUACUAUUUGUCUUGAAUAUCAUGGAGGUAAGCGGAAUAUGUCAUGUAGCGGUGAAAUGCUUAGAUAUGACAUAGAACACCGAUAGCGAAGGCAGCUUACUACAUGUUCAUUGACGCUGGAGGCAACGAAAGCCGUGGGGAGCAAACAGG
rnacentral:rRNA from 1 species